AGACCUUAACUUUCACGUAAACAAAUCUUGUAAGACUUGAGAGAAGAAUAAAUUUGGUGGUUAUAUGCAAAGAACAGAAAUAAACAUGAAAUGCAAUUGAUUCAAUUGGUUUUAAGAAACUAUGGAUGAAUGGUGUUGUUGGGGUUUACAAUUUCAUCUUAUCCCCUCUCAUAUAUCUACUCUUCUUAUUUAAUUCACUUAUUUAUCUAAUUCUCAUGCAAACUUUCUAAUUUACCCUUAACCCUUGGUGAAAAGAGCCUAUUAUUAAUUACCGACUUGCUAUCCUUAGCCUCCCCUAGUAACCAAUAAUGCAAUGCGAUCGGAAGCAAAUACAAUUGACCGUCUUACCCC
rnacentral:lncRNA from 1 species